AUGAUGCUGAAACAGCAAGUUAUUUAUCUUACUGAUCUUGUACAUAUCUCUGGGAUCUCUUGGUAUCUUGUCCAAGAUUUUGUAAAUGAAGGUGAUAGCAUCAAGAUCAAGAUCAUAUUGAUAUGCAUGCACUCCAUUGGUGCUGAUAAGGGAAAUCAGGAAGCACUGGGUUUCUCUAUCUUGAACCAGAAAAUCAUGUUAAAUGAUCUGACAUGCUUGCAUUCCAUACACAAACAGGGAGAAAUCAAGGAUAGCUUUACAAUCAGGCAAUUGGAGGAAGAUCCUCUACUGGAGCCGAUCCUCUACUGA
rnacentral:rRNA from 1 species